rnacentral:rRNA from 1 species
GACGAACGCUGGCGGCGUGCUUAACACAUGCAAGUCGAACGGAAAGGCCCUGCUUUUGUGGGGUGCUCGAGUGGCGAACGGGUGAGUAACACGUGAGUAACCUGCCCUUGACUUUGGGAUAACUUCAGGAAACUGGGGCUAAUACCGGAUAGGAGCUCCUGCUGCAUGGUGGGGGUUGGAAAGUUUCGGCGGUUGGGGAUGGACUCGCGGCUUAUCAGCUUGUUGGUGGGGUAGUGGCUUACCAAGGCUUUGACGGGUAGCCGGCCUGAGAGGGUGACCGGCCACAUGGGGACUGAGGUACGGCCCAGACUCGUACGGGAGGCAGAAGUGGGGAAUAUUGCACAAUGGGCGGAAGCCUGAUGCAGCAACGCCGCGUGCGGGAUGACGGCCUUCGGGUUGUAAACCGCUUUCGCCUGUAACGAAGCGUGAGUGACGGUAAUGGGUAAAGAAGCACCGGCUAACUACGUG